GCCAGGAGUUCCUCGCUGUGGGCUCCCCACUGGGCGCGGCGCGGCGCGGGGCGGGGCGGGGCGGGCAGGAUGCCAGGCGCACUCGGGGGGUGCAGGAGAACCUCCUUGAUGACCUUUUCUCUCCCCGAGGGUCUGCCCUUCCCUGCUUUGGGGUCAGGCCACCCAGGAUUGGCCGACCUCGGGUUUUGUCCCGUAGGGUGUGUGUGUGUCGUCUGGGAGGUGGCAGUGAUGGUGGUAUCCACACACAGGGUCGGUGUGAGUCAUAAAGGGGUUGCGUAAGGGACAGGAGCUUAGUGAACAUUGUAAGGCUUAGAAGGAGGAUCCCUGCUGGGAGAUCAGCCUGCAGCGGACUUCCCCGCCGGGAGUCGUACUUGCUGUCCCGACUUCUGCUCCACUUAGGCUUGAAAGCGAUGUUGUACAACACUGGGAAGACUUCAAAAGAGAAACAGGGUCACACAGAGAGAGAGAGAGAGAGGCAGAGACAUAGGCAGAGGGAGAAGCAGG